ACAGUGGUUGUUUGGUGGUAGAAUUCUCGUCUUCCAUGCAGGAGACCCGGGUUCGAUUCCCAGCCAAUGUA
rnacentral:tRNA from 1 species